GCAGCAGUAAACAAUGAUAUGCUGUGGCCUCUGAUUUUGGGAAUAUUUUUUGGCAUCAUAAGUACUGGAAUCAUUUGUUGCUUUGGCAUAAUAAGACUCAAAAUAUCAUUGUGUCCUGCUCUUCCGGAUCCUAACGACAGCAGUGCAACAAAGUUUGCUUCAGAUGAGAAGAAACAAAUUCCUCAUCACGUGUGUGAAAGCUAUGAAAAUGGGCAUACAGGUCCUCUGAUUGUAGAACCACGGACAGAAGAUGGUCCUCCUGAAAUAGUUAGCAGGGAAAGUUUUGUUAACCAUUGGACUUUAACAAUGGACCAAACAGAGAAUGAUAAUCUGGUAACGUCUGAAUUGGGAGAUCUCCCAUUUGAGUAUAGAAUGCAAAUGAUUGUAGCCUCCCCUGGAAAUGAAAAGAGGCACAUGAACCCUAUUUUUUUUCAGCCAGUUCAGCAAGGUCACAUGGCACAAUAACAUGAUUCAUUCUUAGUAGUAUCACCCUGAAGUGAUGGAAACAGAAUGGAGUUGUUUAAACCUCAAGCUCUUGAAGUAGCUCAUUUUAUUUUGGAUUUGUUUACAGGUAGAGUCUUAAGGAGAUUAACAGAUGUUCAACAAACAUAUGCUUUAGUAUAGUUUAUCCACAUAAAUUACAAUAUGAUACUCACUGCCUUUUAAUUUUCUUUUUGCUACUUUUAUUAUUCUUCAAUGUUUUUUCUGUUUAUGUGGCCAAUAAAAAUAAAGUGAGUGCAAAAAAGCAAAAUCACUAUCAAAACAAAAAAAGCAGUCAAAAGAAGCAAGUAGCUAAUAUAAAGUAUUUGUCACAUUGAUCACAUAGUUUAAUAAAGGCUCUCUACUGCA